UUGAAAGAAAAUGAAUAGAAGAAGAUGUUGGCGAUCUUAACAAGACAGUAGCUCAUCCACCAAAGGAGCUGCACAGCCCUGAUUCUUCAAGG